UAGGGAAUCUUCGGCAAUGGGGGCAACCCUGACCGAGCAACGCCGCGUGAGUGAAGAAGGUUUUCGGAUCGUAAAGCUCUGUUGUAAGUCAAGAACGGGUGUGAGAGUGGAAAGUUCACACUGUGACGGUAGCUUACCAGAAAGGGACGGCUAACUACGUGCCAGCAGCCGCGGUAAUACGUAGGUCCCGAGCGUUGUCCGGAUUUAUUGGGCGUAAAGCGAGCGCAGGCGGUUUGAUAAGUCUGAAGUUAAAGGCUGUGGCUCAACCAUAGUUCGCUUUGGAAACUGUCAAAUUUGAGUGCAGAAGGGGAGAGUGGAAUUCCAUGUGUAGCGGUGAAAUGCGUAGAUAUAUGGAGGAACACCGGUGGCGAAAGCGGCUCUCUGGUCUGUAACUGACGCUGAGGCUCGAAAGCGUGGGGAGCGAACAGGAUUAGAUACCCUGGUAGUCCACGCCGUAAACGAUGAGUGCUAGGUGUUGGAUCCUUUCCGGGAUUCAGUGCCGCAGCUAACGCAUUAAGCACUCCGCCUGGGGGAGUACGACCGCAAGGUUGAAAC
rnacentral:rRNA from 1 species